rnacentral:rRNA from 1 species
GUGUCAGCAGCCGCGGUAAUACGAAGGGGGCUAGCGUUGCUCGGAAUCACUGGGCGUAAAGGGUGCGUAGGCGGGUUUUUAAGUCAGAGGUGAAAUCCUGGAGCUCAACUCCAGAACUGCCUUUGAUACUGAAAGUCUUGAGUAUGGGAGAGGUGAGUGGAACUGCGAGUGUAGAGGUGAAAUUCGUAGAUAUUCGCAAGAACACCAGUGGCGAAGGCGGCUCACUGGCCCAUAACUGACGCUGAGGCACGAAAGCGUGGGGAGCAAACAGGAUUAGAUACCCCGGUAGUCC